AGAAACCUAAAAGAGUUCGGCGCUACAAAAACUAAAGAAAUGUUUAAGAAGCAGAAGAGAACAAUAACAAAAAGUGGAAGCGAAAGUCGAAGCCCGGCAUGGAAAGUUUCUUGGUAUAAAUAGAAGCAGUCGGGGGGAGGAGCGCUAGCUUGGUCGGUCGGCCCGGGAAGCUCCAGCUCGUACUCUGGAGGAACCCCGUACUGAAUCCUAAUCAGUGAGAGUUCCUCCAGAGUCAGAAAGCUGAGGAUGAUGUCUGGUACAAAGAUCGGACGAGGUUCAUCUACAG
rnacentral:lncRNA from 1 species